GACAGAGGGUGCAAACGUUGCUCGGAAUCACUGGGCGUAAAGGGCGUGUAGGCGGGGAGGAAAGUCAGAUGUGAAAUCCCUGGGCUCAACCCAGGAACUGCAUUUGAAACUCCCUUUCUUGAGUACCGGAGAGGAAGGUGGAAUUCCUGGUGUAGAGGUGAAAUUCGUAGAUAUCAGGAGGAACACCGGUGGCGAAGGCGGCCUUCUGGACGGUAACUGACGCUGAGACGCGAAAGCGUGGGGAGCAAACAGG
rnacentral:rRNA from 1 species